CCUACGGGGGGCUGCAGUGGGGAAUAUUGGACAAUGGGGGCAACCCUGAUCCAGCCAUGCCGCGUGUGUGAAGAAGGCCCUCGGGUUGUAAAGCACUUUCAGUGAGGAAGAACGCCUGGUGGUUAAUACCCAUCAGGAAAGACAUCACUCACAGAAGAAGCACCGGCUAACUCCGUGCCAGCAGCCGCGGUAAUACGGAGGGCGCGAGCGUUAAUCGGAAUUACUGGGCGUAAAGCGCGCGUAGGUGGCUUGAUAAGCCGGUUGUGAAAGCCCCGGGCUCAACCUGGGAACGGCAUCCGGAACUGUCAAGCUAGAGUGCAGGAGAGGAAGGUAGAAUUCCCGGUGUAGCGGUGAAAUGCGUAGAGAUCGGGAGGAAUACCAGUGGCGAAGGCGGCCUUCUGGACUGACACUGACACUGAGGUGCGAAAGCGUGGGUAGCAAACAGGAUUAGAUACCCGUGUAGUC
rnacentral:rRNA from 1 species